UACGAAGGGGGCUAGCGUUGCUCGGAAUGACUGGGCGUAAAGGGCGCGUAGGCGGCUCAUACAGUCAGAUGUGAAAUUCCUGGGCUUAACCUGGGGGGCUGCAUUUGAUACGUGUGGGCUUGAGUGGGGAAGAGGGUCGUGGAAUUCCCAGUGUAGAGGUGAAAUUCGUAGAUAUUGGGAAGAACACCGUGGCGAAGGCGGCGACCUGGUCCUUGACUGACGCUGAGGCGCGAAAGCGUGGGGGAGCAAACAGG
rnacentral:rRNA from 1 species